rnacentral:rRNA from 1 species
GCAUAACGCGAAGAACCUUACCUGGGCUUGACAUACACCAGACGCCGGCAGAGAUGUCGGUUCCCUUGUGGUUGGUGUACAGGUGGUGCAUGGCUGUCGUCAGCUCGUGUCGUGAGAUGUUGGGUUAAGUCCCGCAACGAGCGCAACCCUCGUUCCAUGUUGCCAGCACGUGAUGGUGGGGACUCAUGGGAGACUGCCGGGGUCAACUCGGAGGAAGGUGGGGAUGACGUCAAGUCAUCAUGCCCCUUAUGUCCAGGGCUUCACACAUGCUACAAUGGCCGGUACAAAGGGCUGCGAAAUCGUGAGGUGGAGCGAAUCCCAGAAAGCCGGUCUCAGUUCGGAUCGGGGUCUGCAACUCGACCCCGUGAAGUCGGAGUCGCUAGUAAUCGCAGAUCAGCAACGCUGCGGUGAAUACGUUCCCGGGUCUUGUACACACCG